rnacentral:rRNA from 1 species
GACGAACGCUGGCGGCGUGCUUAACACAUGCAAGUCGAACGGAAAGGCCUGCUUUCCCUUGUGGAUUGCGGGUACUCGAGUGGCGAACGGGUGAGUAACACGUGAGUGAUCUGCCCCCAACUUGGGUAUAAGCCUGGGAAACUGGGUCUAAUUCCCGAUAGGACUGCAGGGUGGUGCCUGUGGUGGAAAACGAUUUUCUAGUGGUUGGGGAUGAGCUCGCGGCCUAUCAGCUUGUUGGUGGGGUAAUGGCCUACCAAGGCGGCGACGGGUAGCCGGCCUGAGAGGGUGGACGGCCACAUUGGGAAUGAGAUACGGCCCAGACUCCUACGGGAGGCAGCAGUGGGGAAUAUUGCACAAUGGGCGGAAGCCUGAUGCAGCGACGCCGCGUGGGGGAUGACGGCCUUCGGGUUGUAAACUCCUUUCGACCGCGAGGAAGCCACCUGGUUGGAAGGGUGGUGACGGUAGUGGUAGAAGAAGCACCGGCUAACUACGUG